UACAGAGGGUGCAAGCGUUUGUUCGGAAUUAUUGGGCGUAAAGAGCGCGCAGGCGGUAUGACAAGUCAGAUGUGAAAGAGGCCGGCUUAACCGGCAAGGGUCAUUUGAAACUGUCAGACUAGAGUGCAGCAGAGGAUAGUGGAAUUCCCGGUGUAGUGGUGAAAUGCGUAGAUAUCGGGGAGGAACACCAGUGGCGAAGGCGACUAUCUGGGCUGCAAACUGACGCUGAGGCGCGAAGGCUAGGGGUAGCAAAACAGG
rnacentral:rRNA from 1 species